CGCGGCCUAUCAGCUUGUUGGUGAGGUAACGGCUCACCAAGGCAUCGACGGGUAGCUGGUCUGAGAGGACGAUCAGCCACACUGGGACUGAGACACGGCCCAGACUCCUACGGGAGGCAGCAGUAGGGAAUCUUGCGCAAUGGGCGAAAGCCUGACGCAGCAACGCCGCGUGGGGGAUGAAUGCCUUCGGGUUGUAAACCCCUUUCAGCAGGGACGAAAAUGACGGUACCUGCAGAAGAAGCUCCGGCCAACUACGUGCCAGCAGCCGCGGUAAUACGUAGGGAGCGAGCGUUGUCCGGAAUUAUUGGGCGUAAUGAGCUCGUAGGCGGUUCAGUAAGUCGGGUGUGAAAACUCAAGGCUCAACCUUGAGACGCCACUCGAUACUGCUGUGACUUGAGUCCGGUAGAGGAGUGUGGAAUUCCUGGUGUAGCGGUGAAAUGCGCAGAUAUCAGGAGGAACACCAGCGGCGAAGGCGGCACUCUGGGCCGGUACUGACGCUGAGGAGCGAAAGCAUGGGGAGCAAACAGGAUUAGAUACCCUGGUAGUCCAUGCCGUAAACGUUGGGCACUAGGUAUGGGAUCAUAUCAACGGAUUCCGUGCCGUAGCUAACGCAUUAAGUGCCCCGCCUGGGGAGUACGG
rnacentral:rRNA from 1 species